ACCUAUUCCAGAGGCUAGUUUUUAUUUUUUUUUUUUUUUCAAGCAGAAGACGGCAUACGAGAUCAGCCUCGGUCUCGUGGGCUCGGAGAUGUGUAUAAGAGACAGGGAUGACACAGUAGGAUAAGCUAAGCACACUGUUGGUUAUGUGUGCCCAAGCAUUGAGGCAGUCAAAGUAGGCAAAUCCGCUUUGAUAAUGCUGGGAUGUGAUGGGGAGCGAAAUUUAGUAGCGAAGUAGCUGAUUUCACACUGUCAAGAAAAGUCUCUAUCGAGGUUAAAGGUACCCGUACCGCAAACCGACACAGGUGGGUGAGGAGAGUAUCCUAAGGCCAGCGAGAGAACUGUUGUUAAGGAACUCGGCAAAAUGACCCCGUAACUUAGGGAUAAGGGGUGCCACCAUCAGGUGGCCGCAGAGAAUAGGCCCAAGCGACUGUUUACCAAAAACAUAGGUUUCUGCUAAGUCGCAAGACGAUGUAUAGGAGCUGACGCCUGCCCGGUGCUGGAAGGUUAAGGGGAUCUGUUAGAGCAAUCGAAGCAGUGAACUUAAGCCCCAGUAAACGGCGGCCGUAACUAUAACGGUCCUAAGGUAGCGAAAUUCCUUGUCGGGUAAGUUCCGACCCGCACGAAAGGCGUAACGAUUUGGGCACUGUCUCAACAACAGACUCGGUGAAAUUGUAAUUCCGGUGAAGAUGCCGGAUACCUGCGACAGGACGGAAAGACCCCAUGGAGCUUUACUGUAGCUUGACAUUGGGUCUUGGUACUACAUGUACAGGAUAGGUGGGAGGCUUUGAAACCAGGACGCCAGUUUUGGCGGAGCCAUCCUUGGGAUACCACCCUUGUAGUACUGGGACUCUAACCAUAGGCCAUGAAUCUGGUCUUGGGACACUGUCAGGUGGGCAGUUUGACUGGGGCGGUCGCCUCCCAAAAGGUAACGGAGGCGCUCAAAGGUUCUCUCAGUACGGUCGGAAAUCGUACGUAGAGUGUAAAGGCAAAAGAGAGCUUGAUUGCAAGACAUACAGGUCGAGCAAGGAUGAAAAUCGGACUUAGUGAUCCGGUGGUUCUGCGUGGAAGGGCCAUCGCUCAACGGAUAAAAGCUACCCUGGGGAUAACAGGCUUAUCUCCCCCAAGAGUCCACAUCGACGGGGAGGUUUGGCACCUCGAUGUCGGCUCAUCACAUCCUGGGGCUGUAGUAGGUCCCAAGGGUUGGGCUGUUCGCCCAUUAAAGUGGUACGCGAGCUGGGUUCAGAACGUCGUGAGACAGUUCGGUCCCUAUCCGUCGCAGGCGUAGGAAAUUUGAGAAGACCUGUCCUUAGUACGAGAGGACCGGGAUGGACGUACCUCUGGUGUACCAGUUG
rnacentral:rRNA from 1 species